rnacentral:rRNA from 1 species
UACGUAGGGUGCAAGCGUUAAUCGGAAUUACUGAGCGUAAAGCGUGCGCAGGCGGUUGUGCAAGACAGAUGUGAAAUCCCCGGGCUCAACCUGGGAAUUGCAUUUGUGACUGCACGGCUAGAGUGUGUCAGAGGGGGGUAGAAUUCCACGUGUAGCAGUGAAAUGCGUAGAGAUGUGGAGGAAUACCGAUGGCGAAGGCAGCCCCCCUGGGAUAACACUGACGCUCAUGCACGAAAGCGUGGGGAGCAAACAGG